ACCCAGCAGACCCUCAUUGUGUGGUUUUUGUGUGCAUGUGUGUGUAGAGUAUUUGAUUUCCCUUAAGGGCACUAGCACAGGCUCCAGUACAGUUAGAGAGACUUGGCAGGUUCCUAUCUGCUCAGGGUCAUCCAUUAUUGAAGGCUUGAUGGGGAAUAAGUCAGACUUCAUGGCCAAUGAGAGCACCGUCCUGCGCCUGAAGCUUGUGGAGUUGUUCUAACAAUCAGACAGGUGAGCUAUCCUUUUAAAAACAGGGUUUAAAAAGAUGAUAACCUGGGUUUGAGUGCAGUGUGAAAAGCCCAAGAGGGAUUCGAUCUGGAAAGGCGAAUUUCUAGGCUGUAACACGCGGCAAGGGGUCGAACUUCUUUCCACUAUCUGCCAUUGUCUCCGUUCUGCCCCCCUCUUCGUCGAUGCCCCAACUUUGUGAUCUGUGUGUCCCAGCCCACCUGUUCAGUGCUCAUUACUGUCAGCAGCAUGGUUAAUAAAUAUCCAGGUGGAGAGAUCUUCCCAUCGGCCCUGCUUCAUCUCCAUAAGUCUCCCUCUACACACACACACACCGUGGAUGAGCCUGACAGCGUUCAUGAUUACACUGUAAGUACGGCCAUUUUUCACCCCAUGCCCAAACCCUGACACUGCACUCCAUCUUACACACAAACACACACACAGGAAAGUA